GACGAACGCUGGCGGCGUGCUUAACACAUGCAAGUCGAACGGAAAGGCCCUGCUUGCAGGGUACUCGAGUGGCGAACGGGUGAGUAACACGUGGGUGAUCUGCCCUGCACUUCGGGAUAAGCCUGGGAAACUGGGUCUAAUACCGGAUAUGACCUUCCAUGUAGUGUGGGGGGUGGAAAGAUUUAUCGGUGUGGGAUGAGCCCGCGGCUUAUCAGCUUGUUGGUGGGGUAAUGGCCUACCAAGGCGUCGACGGGUAGCCGGCCUGAGAGGGUGGACGGCCACAUUGGGACUGAGAUACGGCCCAGACUCCUACGGGAGGCAGCAGUGGGGAAUAUUGCACAAUGGGCGGAAGCCUUAUGCAGCGACGCCGCGUGGGGGAUGACGGCCUUCGGGUUGUAAACCUCUUUCGACAGGGACGAAGCUUCGGUGACGGUACCUGUAUAAGAAGCACCGGCUAACUACGUG
rnacentral:rRNA from 1 species